GCUAGCCGCCCGGCGGCCACGGCCAGCACGGGGGCUAGCCGCCCGGCGGCCACGGCCAGCACGGGCGCUACCGCCGGGCGCUACGGCCAGCACGGGGGCUAGCCGCCCGGCGGCCACGGCCAGCACGGGCGCUAGCCGCCGGCGGCUACGGCCAGCACGGGGCUAGCCGCCCGGCGACCACGGCCAGCACGGGCGCUAGCCGCCGGCGGCCACGGCCAGCACGGGGGCUAGCCGCCCGGCGGCCACGGCCAGCACGGGCGCUAGCCGCCGGCGGCUACGGCCAGCACGGGGGCUAGCCGCCCGGCGGCCACGGCCGCGACCGGAGUCGGCUGCUCGGUUCCUUCGGCUACGGCCAGCACGGGGGCUAGCCGCCCGGCGGCCACGGCCAGCACGGGCGCUAGCCGCCGGCGGCUACGGCCAGCACGGGGCUAGCCGCCCGGCGACCACGGCCAGCACGGGCGCUAGCCGCCGGCGGCCACGGCCAGCACGGGGGCUAGCCGCCCGGCGGCCACGGCCAGCACGGGCGCUAGCCGCCGGCGGCUACGGCCAGCACGGGGGCUAGCCGCCCGGCGGCCACGGCCGCGACCGGAGUCGGCUGCUCGGUUCCUUCGGCUUGUGCGUGUUUUGCGUUCUUUUUAGUUUUUCGUAGGUUUUUCCUCGUGUAGAAAACGUUUCUAGCCGUUGAUUUCGAGAUGAUUAAUCUCGAACUUAAUAUUUUUCCAAGGUUUCUCGAUUAAUAUUAGUCUCUCGAGGUUGCUCUAACAUCUUUCAUUUUUUUCCGAGACUUUCGGACAUCGAUUUCGUCUUGACCGAUUUUGACCCCAACAGUUAGCCCCCCAGCUAGCUAGGAGCCGUAUGGUUUGUAGGUUCCUAGCUUGCGGUAUGGUUCGUGAGGAAAGUAUGGAGACGAAAAUCGUGUCGAAGGUCGGGGUGAAUAGUCAAAUCCUUGCCUAUAAAGACUUGUGAAUUCUUUACCAUUCUUAUUUCACCCAAGAAUCUUAAGUUAAUCUCACUCUUGCAAAUUCUCUCUCUACCUUUAAGAAAAGAAUGACUUCAAGAUCAAAAUCCUCGAGGAGGCUGUCUCACUCGUCUUCGGAUAGUUUCCAUGCCGAGGAGGAAGUUCCAAAACCCGAGGUUCCAGAGAUUGACAGGAGCGCAUAUUGCGACGCCGUCUUCGGUUCUGAUGCUCCCCUUCCCGUGAUCCCGAUUCCCCGGCUACCUCUGAGGGCGCGUAAGGAAACUGACUCGCCGAGCGAAGUAUCCCCUGAAUAUCUCGGAACUCUUCGAGAGUUUUAUGAGGUUCCGAAGGGAGUCAUGUUUCGCAUUCCUCGUGGGAAUGAGAGUUCGGAGCAUCCUCCGAAGGGUUCCUUUACUUGCUACGAGCGUUCCUGACGCAAUGCCGACUGUUUCGGAAUCGUAAUCAGCCAGCUGAACGUGCCGGCUUUGGAAAGCUGGCUUGGCGUUGUGAUUUUGAGUUACGAGUUAGGGAUAGACCUUAGCCCUGCUGACUUCGAAGGGUUGUGGAACUCCAAGACGACGAGCAUCAAUGGAGUAUACUCCAUGAAGGCGAGGACCAAUUUUUCGGUAAUCCAUGGAGUCACCUCGCACGCCAAGGAUUACAUUGACCGUUUCUUUUUCGUGAGGAUAGAUGGAGAGUCUGUCGAGGAAGGCUUUCUCCACCUAUUCCCGACGGGCUGGUUGUACCAACGAGAGAACAGGUGUCUCACGCAUGUUCCUUCCGAUCUUUCGACCAAGAGAGACAUUUUUAGGAACAAUGCCUUGUUCCUGGAACUCCUUUACUCUUGACCGGAUUCGAGCGGGCGGUCGCGCUUCACCGAUCGCGAGACGGUACGCGGCCCUGUGUCAAUGAUGGAUCCUACGUUUUUGCCCCUUCAAGGCGGAGGCGGAGAUCUCGGAAGGAUAAAGGGAUUGCUUUCGAGGCCUCGUCGGGAAAUGGUGAGCUGCCGAGAUACGAUCCUGACUUCACUACAGAGAAUCAGGGUGUUCCUCCCCCGGGUGACUUCUUUGAUGAACUCCCCCUCCGGCGUUUUCCCGUGACGAGUCUUUGGACAACGAGGAGAGGGACAAGGUGACUGCGGAGGGUGCUCGCUUGGUCAACGAGGCCGUGAGAGUGUGGAACGCAUCGAUCGAUGGAAGUUUCCGUACUGCCCGGCUGGCCCGUUUCAAAGCGGAGGAAACGGAAAGGGAAUUCGCCAAGUAUCGGUUGGAGUGGAGGAGCAAAAACGCCGGCAAGCCGAGGUCCAGGCUCGAGCCCUCGUUCGUGC